rnacentral:rRNA from 1 species
CAGCCGCCGCGGGAAUACGUAGGUGGCAAGCGUUGUCCGGAAUUAUUGGGCGUAAAGGGCUCGCAGGCGGUUUCUUAAGUCUGAUGUGAAAGCCCCCGGCUCAACCGGGGAGGGUCAUUGGAAACUGGGAAACUUGAGUGCAGAAGAGGAGAGUGGAAUUCCACGUGUAGCGGUGAAAUGCGUUGAGAUGUGGAGGAACACCAGUGGCGAAGGCGACUCUCUGGUCUGUAACUGACACUGAGGAGCGAAAGCGUGGGGAGCGAACAGGAUUAGAUACCCCCGUAGUCCCUGUCUCUUAUAC